rnacentral:lncRNA from 1 species
CCAACUUUUGGACAAUCUUGUUGCAACUAUUAGCUGUGUACGGGACAUAGGAUUUCACUCUCAUUGCACGGAGAGAGCUUCGGGUAUUAGAAAGAGUUGAGAGGAUUCUUACAUUAUUGCAUAUAAUGUACAACCUAAUGACCAGAUAUCAGUUCUUUCGUCAAUAUCACAUUGGCUUGGGCAAUCCCAUAAUUCAGGUGCUCGGAAGGGUGCGGAAACAUGCUCAGAUGCCCAUUCCUACAUUAUCAGCACCACAAAAGCCAUCACGUUAAGGAAAAUGCAACAGAAUGAGUUAAGGUAUAAUGUGUAAGAAAUGGGUGUCAACCAAGAACACAACAUGAAUUAACUACUACUUGAAAUUUGCAUAUAAAGGUAGCAAUAUUGGUGAAAACAUUCAGCCCAAACUUGUUCAAAAGAAGGAACCUAUUAGAAAUUUACAGGCAUAUAAACAGCAGAAAAUAUGUAUAAAUUUAAAAAACGAAAUGAAAGUACCUGCAGCUGCAAGGCCUCUGAACGAGAGCGGAUUUGCCUUCUUGCAGGACGUGUACUUCCAAAAUCCAUUAAUACUGCAAGAGGCGGCUGUCCUUUCCUAUGAGUUAAAAGGAUAUUACCAGGUUUGACAUCAUUAUGUGCAUAAGGAGGAUCAAAGCUAUGCAUAUGCUUGAGUCCUGCACAAAGCUGCAUAAUAAUGUUUCUUUAAAUACAUUCUAGGCUCCAAAAUUGAUGAUGUCCUCCUCUUAUAUUCUCACAAAUAAAAUGCACAUUUGCAAAAAUACAUCCUUAGUUCACCUGACGAAAUAUUUGAAGAACAUCCGAAGUGGAAAAGAAUUCUUUCUUAGCUUUCAUGGCUGUGGCAUUAUCCAGUAAUGUCCCAUCCAAAUGUACCGGGAACAACAAGUAAGCUUCAUGCUUCCAGGACUGAUCUGGCACAGCCUAUCCAACAGAGAAAGAUAUUUAUAUAGAAUAUAAUGAAAAUUGAACAUGUAGUAGAGGAGAGGUUACAAGGAAUACACAUAUCAGCAGGCAUAUAGUGUAGAGUACAGCUAUAAAGAGCUAGGUUCUCAAAGAAAAGUACUACAGAGAAAACUUGUUUGACACUCCACAUGAUCGUUAGAAUUUUGUAUUAUUUAGAAUUCAACCAUCAUUUUAAGACUGAAGAGUGAGCAGUACAUCUUUAGGGAAUUCAGCUCCUCGGGGUACAUCUAAGAGUUCCUGGAACGGCAUAAGCUAAUCUAUCAUGGAAGAUACUGCAAACUCAAUUUAAUUUUUCCACCACCUAAUUGUGCAAAGCCUUCUUCUUGUUCACACAAAGCCUUGACAUGGACAUCAGUGUAUUACUAACAAAAGAGAUCAGAAUACAGAGUUGGUUUCUUUUUUUUUUUUUUUNNNNNNNNNNNNNNNNNNNNNNNNNNNNNNNNNNNNNNNNNNNNNNNNNNNNNNNNNNNNNNNNNNNNNNNNNNNNNNNNNNNNNNNNNNNNNNNNNGGGUUGAGAAUGGGGCGCAAAGUGCCUGCAAAAAUUACCUUGACUGCGAUGAUAGCAUGAUCAAGGAGAGGAAGCAGAUUGCGAUGAGUAAAUAGAGAUGAAACACGAAUCUCCUCUUUCACCAACUCCAACUGUUCAGUGUUCUGAAUAAGAACCUUCUUCAUAGCAUAAGUUCCAUCAUCUGCACAUUAAGAGAGUUUUUCAAUUGUUUUGUUACAGAAUAAAAGAACAUGGAUACAAUAACUGCACACCAAGGUUCAAAGACAAAGCUUAAUCUUUGCACUUCCCUUUCCAAAGAGAAAGAUUUCAUGAAUCAGAGUAAACUGGGCCAAUAACCACUGAAGUCUGACCUACUAACUGCUAAAAGGAGUUGAAGAACUACUUCUAGUGAAAAUAUCAUUAGGAAAGAAAGCCAAUUAGAGAAAGAAAAAGAAAGAAUAAGAAACCCAAAAGCUCCUAAUGUUCAUUCCAGAUGCUUAAAAACAUGUAUAAUAGGCUCGUCUACAUAUUACCCUCCCCAGACCCCACCUGGUGGGAAUAUACUGGGUAGUUGUUGUUUGUUGUUGUUUACUUCUUCUCUGAAUGGAAAAGUUGGGGUAGAGAGGAAUAUCUACAAAACCUACAGAAUUUAGGUCAGGUCAAUGCAGCAAUCAAUAUAACUACACGUACACAGGGAAGAAGCACAUUUUGGAGUAAAAUACGCCUCUAGUAAAUAGAGAAUUUGAGCAAUAUUUGCCAAACCACUCUAACAUCAUUUUCUAAAGAUAUCUAAACCACACAAACAUCAGUGAAACAAAAAACAAAAAUCCAAAUUUGAAGAUGAUCAACCUCUAUAUAUAUAUAUAUAUAUAGUAGGUGCAACAAAAUAGAAUAGUUGAGCCAACUUUUGGACAAUCUUGUUGCAACUAUUAGCUGUGUACGGGACAUAGGAUUUCACUCUCAUUGCACGGAGAGAGCUUCGGGUAUUAGAAAGAGUUGAGAGGAUUCUUACAUUAUUGCAUAUAAUGUACAACCUAAUGACCAGAUAUCAGUUCUUUCGUCAAUAUCACAUUGGCUUGGGCAAUCCCAUAAUUCAGGUGCUCGGAAGGGUGCGGAAACAUGCUCAGAUGCCCAUUCCUACAUUAUCAGCACCACAAAAGACAGCACAUUAAGGAAAAUGCAACAGGAUGAGUUAAGGUGUACUAUGUAAGAAAUGGGAAUCAACCAAGAACACAAUAUGAAUUAAC